CGCAUGGGUACAUCUGUGAUGAUCCGAUUGAGACCUCGUGAAGAGAACGUCCCUGUAGAGGACACGGGCUAAUCCGUUGGUGUCUUCUCAGCAUGAAGGUUUCUUACACGUUUCAACCCAAAUGUCAACACAAACAGCGAGAUUAAGACCACGGAUCGCUGGGUGGACAGGAGGAAUAUUCCAGACCAGACUGAUGCACAUGCAAGUACCGUUUCUCGUUCCUAUAAUUAUAAUGAUGAAGGAGCAGUUCAGGUCUCUGGCAUAAAUCAAUUCAAGCAAAACUCGUGGGAUUGUAUUUCAUUGGUUGAGCUCUGGAGGAUGUAUAUCAGGCGUCUUGGGACCACCCCCUGAAUAAGAGUACAGAGUGAAAUCAAUGAUUGGAAGUACACUUCAGGGACGAGAGUGUACCAUGUGACAUCAGGUGAUGACUUAUGGAUUUUUGUGGCUUCUCUGAUUCACUUAGUAAUUGAUUGAAGUACAGUAUGUCUUUAUUAUAAUUGAUAAUUGCAUACAUGCAUGCAUGGCAAUGUAUAUGAAGCGCGCGGACACCCAAGAAAUGCUCUUGUUAAACUCACGAGAGGUGAAUUGCCCUGUAUAGGGAAGACAUACCCAGUUACAAAUCUUAAUUUCCUCAUUGACAAGUUGGUCUGUGUUGAUUGAUCUCCCCGACACUGGACAGCAAAAAACGACAAGAGUGACGACGAUGUGUUUUACAGUCCUCCAUUUUAUACUUCUUACACCGGCUACAAGAUGUGUUUGAGAGCUGACAUUGAGAGCUGACACUAAUGGCUGGGGUGAUGAUGAUGGCACUCAUGUUUCAGUGAGUUUCGAAGGGAGACUCUUGCAAAGAGGCUACACUAUUAGCUGCAACAACCAUUUAAAAUUGUAUCCAUACUCGUACUUAUCUUUGAGCUUUUUUGUACUCGGAUUUUUCUUUUUUUUUUUUUACCUCGAAACUCAGUGAAUACAGUUACUUUUAGUUGAAUCUGAUUGACGAGUAUAUAGUUGAGACAUAAUUAUGGUCAGUCCUCCUUCUGUGUGCCGACUAUAUAGCUGGCGUCAUAUACCAUUUAAAGCAACAAAGAUCUUUGGUAAUUCGGAAAGUUAAUAAACAGAUCAAACAAAGGAAUGUGGAGUGCAUUACAGCCGUUGAAACUAACUAUACCUUUUGUUUCGACUCGGUAUGCAUGCAUCUUGAUCAUGGUAGAUAUACAUUAGAGCUGUUUUCACUUAGUUUACGAAAAUAAGUAAAUUUAUCGGGCACGGGGGAGGGGGGAAUCUAAACAGUGUUUCUGUUGCGUUCCGUUCCUUAAUUGGGGGAGGCAGAUUGUAACUUCCUAAGGUUGCAUGCUUGUAAUUAGUGUGGCCACAUACGUUUGCAUACAGGUAGUAUGCUCCAGGAUCAAUUAGCCUGGCAGUGUGUAAUGGAGAAGCCGUUCUUCAGGUAUCAACCUCUAUUACAAGUUACUGUGAUGUUCUCUUCUAAAGAUACCAGAGGAGAGUUUCUGCUGCAUGAAACAUGAUAUGAUAUUGUGUAAGUGUUUCCUGUGCAUGGGAUUUAGCCCUAUCUUGUACCUGUCACACAGCAUGAAAUUCUAUGUUUCUUGUAGGCAGAAAAUGUAAUUGAGACACUAUGUACACAUAAUAUCAUAGUGAAAGAAAGAGACUCACCUCAACAAAGUGGUCCGGCUCUAUUUGGAUUGGAGGUCAAAGUUGCCGCCAGUGGGACGGACUCUCAGUUAAUGCUGCCGUUGCAGUAAAAUUUACACGUGUGUAAAUAACUUUAUUUUCGCCAACUAGGGCUGGGUAUAUGUAUUCGGCCGGUGGUUGAACAAAUUGUAGUUUAACAUAUGGUAGGGGUGAGGGCAGCAGAGGGGGUGUGGCCAAUUCUUCGGUCUGUUGCUCCAUUGCAAUUGGUGGGUGACCGCCUCAUAAAUGGGGAUUAAGCUUGCCUUGGGGUUUUAGCAUUUCUGACAACACAUUAGGGCAAGAAAGAACAUAGUUAACAACAAGACAGCCUUACACUGAAACAGAUUUAAUACAACAAAACUUGCUGGUAGAUUUGAAUUGUGAUGGCACAGCUACACCUUGUUUUCUUAAGAAUAUUCUUUUAUCGAACAUGGAAUGUGCUUCUGAUAUCCAUGUGCUUCUGAUAUCCAUGUGCUUCUGAUAUCCAUGGAAAUGAUCUGUCAUUAAUUUUGUUGUCUGAUUGUAUUGUUGAAGGAAUUUCUUCAGGUGGUCGUCUAUUACAGUAAUGGCUGCAUAGUAUCCCAUCAAUCAAAACCGGCUCUAAGCACAGUUUAAAAUUAGGACUUGCAAUGCAGGUCAGCACGUGAUCAACAGCGUGUCCACUUAGUAAUUAUAUGCUUAUUUUUUCUGAAAUGCACCCAGCACGUAUAUAGCACGGCAGGAAGUAUGUAAAUAAAUAUUCAUUACAAUGACAACGACAGCUGUGCAUGCAUGGCUUCUCUGGAGUCUAGCUGAACAGUCAGCUACAGGCUGAGCUCUCAGCCAUAGCCAGCAGUAGGAGACCAGGUCCUGCAGGUUGAAAGGAAAACCCGGAAGUUAGUAGCGUUUCUACAUUCAACUGAUAGUUAUUUAUUCAUUACUUUUUAAUUUCAGCAGCGAAAUAACAAACUUUAGCACAGAAAAUGUGGUGCAAGAUAAUUGAAUGUGAGGUCCAUUUUCUUUUUUCAAGAACUGUUAAAAUAAACCAAUUGGUCGAUCUCUUGGAGCAAUUCUUUUGGUUGUCUAAUAAUAAUAUUAUGCGAGUUAUUUGCAACAUCACUCUUCUCUCUUUUUAACCUUCUUUGUUAUAUCAUCCUAGUGUGCGGUGCAAUAACAGCCUUUGUAACAACCUUUCCCUGUUUCAUACUUUCCCCUUCAAAAAGCUGCAGUUGUGAGACAUCAUUGCAUCUCCUUUCUCCUCUAAUAUAUUAUUAUAUGACUGGUAACUUUGACACACACACAGUUCUUGCCGUUACCAAAAAUGUAGAACAUGUACUGGCAACAUUGCAUAUGUGGGACACUGUAUAGCGUUUGCCUUCAGUAUAGUUUUUCCGCUCGUAAUCCAUUUGUGGAAGUAUGCCUCCACUCUUUUUGUUUCCCUGCUGGUGAAGGCCUUUCUCACCUGGAAAGAUUUUACCUUUACCUUUGACACCUCUCGUCCCGAAAUCAGGCCUGUAACUAUACCUUGGAAAUUUCUUUCCAGAUUAUGUGCGUAUGUACGAUGUACCAAACUUUCCCAAAACUAUAAACGAAACAACAAAGGGGAAAACAAAACACUAAAUCUAUACAUGUACUCGUAUUGCUAUUUAUUUCUUCUAUUUAAUGCUCACUUGUCACCCCACUUGCUGUUUGUGAAAAAAAAAUUAUUGUAGGCAUUGAAAUAAUUAUUAUACUUCCUCAGUGGGAUUUAAGAAAAAUCUCAGUACAGGAAUGGGACUUCCCGUUGCUCCGCAUGACAUUGUGGCUAUUUUACCAUUCCAAACUAUAGGGGAUACGAACAAGGAGGGUCCGACUGUAUGCAGCCAAAUAAUGGGCGUAAAGAUCUGCAGAUAGAGGAAAUUGUCAACAACACUAUUAAACUAUAGGGGAUACGAACAAGGAGGGUCCGACUGUAUGCAGCCAAAUAAUGGGCGUAAAGAUCUGCAGAUCGUCAACAACACAUACAUAGACACGUCUGCCGGCACCUGCACCACCAUGGCCCCUGCCUCUACCUCUCUGUGGAGCAGGAGGCACGUAGUCUUCAUCACUACUUUCGUCGUAUUCUUCAUCAGAAUCUGUCUCCAGACCUAUAGACACGAAUUGUCAUAAUUGUUCAUCAGUGUCUGGGGCGGGAUCACCUUAUUGUUUCUCAGGUAGUUUCUGGUUUUGCUGAGUUGGUUUUUCAAACUCGUCACCGGCUUCUUUCCAUCCAGUGAAGGUCUAAUUAUAGUGUUUCUGGUAAUUGGGUGACUGGUCUAAGAUAUCGAGUCUUUGAUUAAUACAGUCGCAUUAGCAUCUCAUCAAGAGUAGCAAAAUAUGUAGCUUUGAGAGCAUCUUUCAAUUUCCAUGAAUCCUUGCAGCCCCCCAGCUCCCGUAUUGACACUUGCGCCAUCUGUGCCAAAACCAAUCAGUUUAUUCCUCCAGUCAGUAAUACCAAUGUACUCCAUAGCUGCUUUAAAACAUUCAAACAGGGUCUGAGCAUCUCCCCGUUUUAGCUGUCGAACAGUUAAAAACUUGUUUCUUACGUGGACCGAGCCUGCAUCUUCGUCUGGUGGCCUUACAAUUGUGUCUUGUAAACAGUUAUGAACGACCCCCGAUGGUGUGAAGGUAAUGAUUACCACUGGGUCACCGUAAAUAAACAUAAACUUAACAUGUACAAGUUCAAUAACUAGAUUGUUCAUUUACAUGUGUCCUUUGUCCAUCAUCGGAUUUCGGGUCAACGUACUGAAUGGUAAACAAUUCGUCUUCAAUCGUUCCAGCAUCAGUUGUACCAUCUGACUGAAUGCUGAAAAAUUUAACGCUCGAUAGUAGAAUCCUUUGUAGAUCCUGGGCAAUGUACUCAACAAACGUAGCACAUGCAUGAUCAUUAAUGUAUCCAUGUAAUGUAUCCAUGUAAAGGGACUCGGAUGAUCCCUUUUUCCACUGGAAAUCCCAGUAACCUCAAAUAAGGGUGGAUCGGGUUAAGGAAUCAAACCUCUCCUGUGUAACGUGUUCAGACAUGUACUAGGAGUUUGCACUUCGAUUUGGGACGCUAAGGGACGCUGGGAAGACUCAAACGACCCUUUCUUUCGUAGACACCUCAGUAAUCUCUAAAAUGGGUGGAGGGUGAUGAGCAAUAGCAAUCACGUGUAGGCACGUGUUUAAAUGUCGACUGUGAGGUUCCUACUUGAUUUGGGUCGUUAAGGGACCAGAUUGGACCCUUUCUUUCAAAGAAACCUCGGUAAAUUCAAAAAUUGAUUGGUUUCAUCAAGCGACCAUCACAUGUUAGCCUUGAAUGAGUAAGAAUCCUUUGUCUUGAAUCCUUUUCUUUGUUUUUUCCAUGGGGUGAUCCAGGAGAAACUGUUCGCACAGCCAAAGACCUGGCGUCGUGUUGGAACGUAGGCCUUCACUGAAAUCAUUUCGCUCUCUUCUACAGUGAAGUGCCUACUGGGUUCAGGGGUGGCAGCAGAGCCUGUUAGGGUUAUGGCUUAUGCAAACCUCAGCCUCCACAAGUUGGAGUGUUGAUGCAAUCACACCCUAUGGAAUCGAACGUAAUUAUUAUAUAAGUUUAUCACCCGACUGGACUUCUGCAAUCUGAUUGGUCAAGACGGAUUCCGUCUUGGCACAUAAAACUAUGACAAGAGUGCUCAAGACGGUGUUGCAAAGGUACGAUUCAUGAGACUACAUUUUGUCCCCCUUUUAUUUGCAUGUGUGCGCAGUAGUGCUAUCAACAACAAAGUAUGACGAUACAUGAGUUUUGUAGAUCUAUGUUCACCACUGUCCAGUUGGUUCUUCUAAAAUGAGAAGAGACCUCUAUUCAUGUUCAGUUCAGCUAGACUUAGUCGAUCUAUAGCUAGAUAGUCUACAUGUACUAUUGUGUAUUUCUAUCGUGUACGUUCAUUUCAUCAGUGGAGCAUGCACGAAGUUGUAGCUGUCAGCCUUCAGGCAUACGCAUGGCCCUGAUUGCAUACCGUAUAGCGGGUAAUUUUCGGGGGACAAAAUAUUUGUGGUUUAGCAAUAUUGAGACAUUUCGUGGAUAAUAUUUUCGUGGAUGCUGCUUGGAUUGUAGGUAAAGGUAGGCAAGGUUGCUUCAUUCGUGGGUAAAAUAUUCAUGGUCAGACCUCCAACCCACGAAAACCACGAAUAUUUUGCCCCACGAAAAUUACCAGCUAUACGGUAUAGCAAAAACACAUAAUUAUGUUUUAUGGGAUGCAUCAUCGGCAAAAUGACAGAAAUUUAUGUCAUUUCUACAUUAAAUUUCAAAUGAUGCAUUUUAUUUGAGAUGUUUGUUAUUUUAACGUAUCUGUUUUUAUUAUACAUGCAGCCUAAACUACUCAGCUUUGCCUGGUCCUAGGCGAGCUACUAGCCUUCAAAAGUGAUUUACUAUUUAGUCUCCCUGAACAGCCUACCCCAUGCAGGGUCAGAUAUCCGGGGUACAUUCUACCCUAUGGUAGGCUGUCCGGGAGGACUCUAACAGUAUGACGAUCAGCGAUCCCAGUCUUAUGAUAACAGUUUACAAUACUCAACAUACUCGAAAGUGAUAUGAGCUUGCUAGAUAGCACAACAGUAGAUCUACCACAGGCAGUACACUUACAUCGAAGGAAAGGUAAAGGUCAUAUUAUCGUAAACAUUGCAUAUUACACAUUUCGUAAUUGCUAUGUGACUGAUGACACAUAAUUAUCACCUUUCUUGCCUCCUCUGCUAGUAUUAAUUGCCAAUCAAAACAUUAAUUAUUUGAAACGCAAGGAUGACAAAGAUCACUUUUACUGUCCUCCAUUCUAUACACCUCUUACAAUGGCUACAAAAUGUGCAUUUGCGUUGAUGGCAAUGGAUGGUGGGAUUUUAGGGCACUCAUGUUUCAGUGGGUGCCUAUCACAUGAAGGGAGACAAUGACGACACUCUGGUGUUCAGGGUAUCUGUACAAGUACCCGACUACAAGCCGUGGCUGGAGCCAACCAUUUAAGACUGGAAGACUGAACGUUUUUUGUUGUUUAUUUAAUUAUUUUGCUUAAUUGGUAUUCUUAUUUGAUUGCCAUUUACAAUUUGUUUUUGGAGUGUAUUAUAUUGACUAUUGAGUUUUAGACAUUGUAGUUGAUAAGAUCUACAUGCUCCAGAGGGAUAAUAUACUGCGGGGGACUUGUAUAUACCUAUAAUUAUAUAGUUGCACACGCUAUUCUAAAAUGAUAAUUUGUACCAUUUACCUGCCGAAUGAUUCUAAUCUCUGCUGCUUUGCCUGAUUCACAUGCAUCUUACCCACUGGCUUAAAUUUUAGCCCAUUUGUAACCCAACAUGCAUGCAUCCCAGCCAUUUAUACCCACCCAAUACCCAGCCCGUUGAACCCUUACCUGGUUGGUACCAAAUUGUAGCGUGCACCCACAGAUAUAUA